rnacentral:rRNA from 1 species
UACGUAGGUGGCAAGCGUUGUCCGGAAUUAUUGGGCGUAAAGCGCGCGCAGGCGGUUAUGUAUGUCUGAUGUUAAAGCCCGGGGAUCAACCUCGGUUCGCACUGGAAACUGUGUAACUUGAGUGCAGAAGAGGAAAGUGGUAUUCCCCGUGUAGCGGUGAAAUGCGUAGAUAUGUGGAGAAACACCAGUGGCGAGUGCGACCUUCUGGUCUGUAUCUGACGCUGAGGCGCGAGAGCGUCAGGCACAAGGAAG